rnacentral:tRNA from 1 species
AUAACUAAUUGAUUUAAAUGUGAGUUUUUUAAUAUUUAAAAUCCCUCGGCCGCAAGGCUGUGCGGGUUCAAGUCCCGCUCUGGGCACCA